UACGGAGGGUGCGAGCGUUGUCCGGAAUCACUGGGUUUAAAGGGUGCGUAGGCGGACAUGUAAGUCCGUGGUGAAAUCUCCGAGCUUAACUCGGAAACUGCCAUGGAUACUAUAUGUCUUGAAUGUUGUGGAGGUUAGCGGAAUAUGUCAUGUAGCGGUGAAAUGCAUAGAUAUGACAUAGAACACCAAUUGCGAAGGCAGCUGGCUACACAAAUAUUGACGCUGAGGCACGAAAGCGUGGGGAUCAAACAGG
rnacentral:rRNA from 1 species